rnacentral:rRNA from 1 species
UACGGGGGAGCAAGCGUUGUUCGGAUUUACUGGGCGUAAAGGGCGCGUAGGCGGCCACCGCAAGUCGACUGUGAAAUCUCCGGGCUUAACCCGGAAAGGUCAGCCGAUACUGCGGGGCUAGAGUGCAGAAGGGGCAACUGGAAUUCUCGGUGUAGCGGUGAAAUGCGUAGAUAUCGAGAGGAACACCUGCGGCGAAGGCGGGUUGCUGGGCCGACACUGACGCUGAGGCGCGAAAGCUAGGGGAGCGAACGGG